CUCAGUUCGGAUUGGAGUCUGNAACCCGACUCCAUGAAGCUGGAUUCGCUAGUAAUCGCGCAUCAGCCACGGCGCGGUGAAUACGUUCCCGGGCCUUGUACACACCGCCCGUCAAGCCAUGGAAGCCGGGAGUGCCUGAAGUGCGUGAGCGCAAGCAGCGCCCUAAGGUAAAACCGGUGACUGGGGCUAAGUCGUAACAAGGUAGC
rnacentral:rRNA from 1 species